AGGAGGCUCCCUGCUGAGCAGAAAGCCUGAUGUGGGGCUUGAUCCCAGGACCCUGAGACCAUGACCCGAGCUGAAGGCAGAGCCUCAACCCAGGUGUCCCUGAAGGUUAUUUUAAAGCUCAAAAAGUGGAAGACUGUUUAGUUUAUUGUUUUCCGUGGCAAUACAAUUCCCUUGAAAACUUAGUGGGUUUCUAACCAAAUUGUGCUGCCAGUUCACGUGUCAGUAUCCUCUUCUAAAAUUUUUUUACUAGACACACCUCUCAAGAAUGAAACAUGCCUGUUUCUUCACCCCAUCUGUGUAACAGUAGCUUCCUUGCGUCAGAACAACAGGCUCACGUGGGAAGCCCACAUCCUUCAUCUCUGCUUUGGGGUUGAGUUUGGAGCUCUUGUUGCUCAGAGCCUUUUUCAGUCUUACAUCUCUUACUGUUUGGAGUUUAGAAAUAGUCAGCUUUCCCAGACUUUGGAGUCCCAAAUUUCUGAACAAUACCCACUUUCAUUGCCUUUUUUUUUUUUUUUAAGGAUUUUAUUUACUUGACAUAGAGAGAGCACAAGCAGGAGGAGCAGAAGGCAGAGCGAGAGGGAGCAGACUCCCUGCCGAACAAGGAGCCCGAUGUGGAGCUCAAUCCUAGGGCCCUGGCAUCAUGACCUGAGCUGAAGGCAGAUGCUUAAUUGACUUGAGCCACCCAGGUGCCCUUCCCCUUUCAUUACUGUGUGCAGACAGACCAGUUCCUUCUUGAACACGCCAGCAAUAAUUCUUGAAAGGGGAAGAUAAGAGCCAACAUGCAGUAUAUCCGUCUGGUUCUUCCCAAACAAUUGCAGAGCUACCACGGCCUUGCCCUUCAUGUUACUGCGGGAACCAGCUACUGCAUGAUUUGCCGCGUGUGACAUGGCUUUUCAGCUCUUCAGCUUCUGACUCCAAUUUACUCACUGGCCACUAACCCAGUGUCAUCUACUUUACAUUUUUUUUUUUUUUCCUGGGGAAGUAGCCACUUCUAGAUCCUAAGUUUUGACUUAAUUUGGGUAACAUACUUGCAUCGACAACAAACCCUAAAUAUGUAAUAGCUCAAGGACAAUAGACUUUUUUUUUUUUUUAACUCCUGCAAAGUCUACAAUGAAGGGUUCUGGUUCGCAGGGGCUUUCCUCCAAGUGGAGGUUCCACGUUCCAGGCUCUUUAGGUCUAACUGCUUUGCCAUCUCAGCCGCUCUUCAGCGAAGGCAUGGGGAGCACAGACUCAAGGACAGACACAGAUAUCACCGCCCCAGCUCAAUGGCCACUUCUGGGAACCUCUGCCUGCUUUAGUGUUCAUUCCACAGCCCUGCAUGAUACUCUUUUUAAAGAAUGCCUUUUAUUUAUACCUUUUAAGUCAGGGGAACAAAGCUGCUUCAUUUAGAAAAAAAAAAAAAAAAACCAAAACCCUUCUAAUCUCCUGAUUUAAUAAAGUAAUUCUGCUGA